AUCCCAUCUCCAAGCACUAUGCUUCCUUUCUCUCUAUGCUUCCUUUCUCUCUGCUUCAAAACUUUCUUUAGUUCUCUCUCUCUCAAUUCAUAAGCGAAUCAAUAAUUUUAUCCUAAAUUUAAAAAAAUUCUAAGUUUUUCAAUUAAUUUAUUAUUCUUAACAGAGAUGAUGAAUCUGUCAGUAUGAGUGAUAGCCAAGAUAACCAGAGGCGGAGCAACCAUGGCAGACAAGUAACGGAGCUGAAACAGGUGCAAACAAAGGAACCCAAACAGAGUGGCCGUGUUCGGUUGGUGCUAUCAGAUGGGUCACAUUUACAAUAAGCCAUGAAAUGAUUUGGAGCUAAGAUUGUGAUGCAGUUGCCAAAGGAGAUGUUUAAGAAACCCAAAUUGAGGAAUAAUAUUUGAAGGUCUGAUACUGGCGAUAGUAGUGGUGAUUCGUAAAAACCAGCAUUCUCAAAGAGAAAUAUCGACAUCUACGGCUCAUGAAUAGAAAACAAGCAUCCAAAAAUGAAGGAUUUGACAUGUAGUUUUAUGUUUUUACGUUCACUUAAUGAAGGAAAGAGAGAAAAUUGGGUGGUGAAGUUAACAAGAAUUUAUGUUGUGGUAGAGUCCGCGUCAGACACUUCUUUUAUAAUGUUUGGUGGGUCUCAUAAUAGUCUUUUAUAACUAAAAUACAUAUUGUGGUAGAGUCCACAUCAGACACUUCUUUA